UCAUCCUAUCUGCUGCUAAUGGUGCUGUUUGAGACAGAGAGGGUGGAGGUAGCCUGCUUGAGGUAAAGGGCAAUGUCCGGUGUAUCUUCAAUAAACCCCAAUGGUCCUACAGCGCCCAGUGAGGAUGGUAGUAGGGUGGAGGAUAGGGGUAUUCUGGAUUCCAGGGUAAGUAAGGUGGUCUACCCUGGAAGUAGUAGGGUUGACAUGUUGCGGUAGGGGAUGAAUAUUGUGACAAGAAGACGCUGUAUUGGUCCCCUUGUCUGAUAUCUUCUUACUCAGGCAAUGCUGGGGUUCUUGGGUAGCGUGGAGUGAACCCUGGAGAAGACUGCAUGGGGAAUGCCAGUUUUGAGUGUGAAAGUGAGAGCUGUGGUCUCCCGGUAUCAUUUGCGUCUUCGAGAGACUGCAUCAGAGUGUCUCUGGGGGGCAUCAUAGAGCUGGAAACUUGAAAAGCUUGCCUCUGGACCUCGCUCCUUUCAAGCGGGUAGUGUGGCAGUGCGCCGGGUCAUUCCCGGUGCCACGUUGUUUGAUGUUGCUUGCACCAGCACGCAUGGGCAUUUCGAAGCACUCUCCAGUGCCAAGACUGAUCUUCCCGGCACCAAGGCUUCCACGGUGCAGAGGGUACUCUCCUUUUCCAACCCCAACUCACUGGGAGAUGGAGUUAGGGGCAGGGACUUGGGAGGUGACCGUCCCAGUCUUUGCUCGAGCCAUUGGAAUCAGUGAGGCUGCCUUUUUCCUGGCCGCAAAUCCUGUAGAGCCCUCCGGCUGCAUUCCCUGAUCCAGCAGCAGCAUGCGGAUGCGAAGCUCUCUAUCUUUUCUGGCUCUCACUGUGAGAGCGUGGCAGAGGUCACAUUUCUGGGGGACGUGUGUCUCUCCAAGGCAUCAGAUGCAAUCUGUGUCCCUGAGACCAGCAUAGGCUCCUGGCAGCUCUGACAUUUUUUAAAACAAGAGGAGCCCGGCAUUGCAGCUCCUGACUGGCUUUCCUCCAGUGUUCCGUGAAGACUGCUGCUGGCAGUUCCUGUUGUUCUUUGUUUAUUUAUUUAUCUUAUUUUUUAAAAUAAUCUACCCCUGUUCUUUUUGAAGGAUAGAGCUUAGUCGGGAGCAGCAGGUCUGUAGGUUGCCCAAAGGUGGCCGCUCAACGCCAGUCCGCGCUGACAAAUUUUUUUUUUCGGGAUGAAGAACAAUGACAAUGGCACAAGGGGAGAACUGGGGAAAAGAAACCAGGGAGGUUUCUCACCACCCUGGGGAAAUAGUGAAGAGAUUAAAGAACUCCAUCUGAAGCUGAGGAUGGGAGAAGAGGAACUGAAGGGGUGAGGGGGAGUGAGCAGCACAGGAUGCCAAGUACAGUACGGUGUGAGGCUUUCCUCACGCAUGCACAGCUCACAGGCACUGCUAGAAAAAGCUCCACUCCAAGGCACCAGUGUGUCCCUACACCGGACGUGGAGCACCCAUAGGGAUAUCACCGGAAGGAGAAUAGGGGAGUCUAUACAUUUAUUACUCCCCUGGAUUGGUCUUCCUUUUUUAUUGCAUCUAUAGGCAAACUGGAACAUUCUUUCGUGAGGGCAAAACUGUAAAGAAUGCUGGUGCUGCAUUUACAAAGCUAUGCUAUUUCAUCAGUCUGCUUUAAAAGGAACUAGAUUAUUUUGGAGAUAUAUUUAACUUAUAGGAAAGUCAAAAAAGAUUUGCUGAUGAAAGUUUACAAAUUGCACUUCCACGUCUUCUUUACAGGAAAAAGAGCCUUAGAACAGCAACCAUUAACUUCACACACAAAGAUUUACAGUAAAUUCUAAAUCUAAUCACUGAAGCAAUAAGGUAGGAAAAGAGAAUUAAACUUCUGCAAAUAGAGUCUCAUCACAAUGCCUCUUCAAUAUAGUAGAGAAAACAUAGCUUUAAAACAGAGCAGCAGCUUUAAACAGCCACAAAGCUAAAACAAAAACAAAGGCAGAAAAGGAAGUACGAUGCACUAGAAGGCAAAGACUCUCAUAUUAAACCUCACUGACAAAUAUUAUUGGCUUGUAAAAAAAACCCAUUACUUUUCUCUACCAACUCUGGACCCCUUCUCUGGUAUAUUGGGCUCCUCCUCUAACUCUGUAUGAAAAUAAUUUGUCCAUUUUGUUCAGUUUAAUAAAGUUAUCUAGUUCAAACCUGAAAAUAAAACACACUAAAGAAAUCCAUUAAGUCUGUGAAGUAUCACUGUUCCGGUGGCAGGGCUCUUUGGAGUGAGGCUCUCCAGCACCUCUAUUGAUAAGGAUUCUCUGGAGAACACAUUGGAGCCUCAUUUUUGCAAACGACUCUACAGCCCUUUUUAUGUGACAGAUUCUUGCACAAUAGGUUCUACAGGCCUCUCCCCCCUGUAAAAUAUGGUGACAAUAGAAGUGGGUGAGUCUAGCUUCUUUGCCAAGCUCUACUUCACUUCAUUUAAUAUAUUUUCUUCUUUAUUGCUAAAAAUACACUAGAAGCUUCAAUGCGCUCUAGGGUUGCCAGAUGGUUUCAACAAAAAUACCAGACACUUGA